rnacentral:lncRNA from 1 species
CCCGUCUCACCCAUUUCUAAAGAAGAUUUCUUAACGCUGUCACCAGUGACUCCUAAACAUCACCACUAAAGGAUCUCUUUAUCAGCCCAAUCCCACAGGCUUCUGAAGGAGGAAGUCAUACCAGCAACGGGAAAGAACCCUAACACAUGGAGAGGGAAGUGAUGAAAUUAAAAAAAAAAAUUCAGCUGUUGGGUAAUGCUGCUACAGGGAUUCCUGGCAACAAUUAAGCACAGCUACAGAAGUCAGACUCACUGCAGGCUUGAGGAAGAGGGAUAGCUCACUAUUCGCUCUGAUGGUAAUAAUUAUAUGCUAUGGAAAUAGUAGAAUUAAUACAUAGGCAUGAAUUCUUCAUCUUAGUGACGUUCCUAUCCGGCCUAGUUGCUUCCAGAUUUCUGUUAACGUGAUAUACACUCCUUACUUAGAACGAGGCCAAAAUGUUGGUCUGUGUUUGGCAUAGGCUGAAGAAUUGUAGCUUCAGUCUAGUCUACGUGGUGAAGAAUGAACUUGGCAACAGGUUAACUCAUGAGCUUUGAAACUCAUAUGCUUUUCAUUCA